UCCGGUUGAUCCUGCCGGACCCCACUGCUAUCGGGGUGGGACUAAGACAUGCUAGUCGUGCGCCUCCAAGCCACGGUGGAGGCGCGGCGCACAGCUCAGUAACACGUGGCUAACCUACCCUUGGGACAGGGACAACCCCGGGAAACUGGGGCUAAUCCCCGAUAGGUGAGGACUCCUGGAAUGGGUCCUCGCUGAAAGGGCGUCUAGACCAUGCUUCUAGACGCUGCCCAAGGAUGGGGCCGCGGCCGAUCAGGUUGUUGGUGAGGUAACGGCUCACCAGGCCUAAGACCGGUACGGGCCGUGAGAGCGGGAGCCCGGAGAUGGACACUGAGACAAGGGUCCAGGCCCUACGGGGCGCAGCAGUCGCGAAACCUCCGCAAUACGCGAAAGCGUGACGGGGCCACCCCGAGUGCCGUCCGCUGAGGACGGCUUUUCCCCAGUGUAGACAGCUGGGGGAAUAAGGGGAGGGCAAGUCGGGUGUCAGCCGCCGCGGUAAUACCCGCUCCCCGAGUGGUGGGGACGCUUAUUGGGCCUAAAGCAUCCGUAGCCGGCUGGACAAGUCCCCUGUUAAAUCCAGCGAUUUAAUCGCUGGACUGCGGGGGAUACUGUCCAGCUAGGGGGCGGGAGAGGCCGGCGGUAUUCCCGGGGUAGGGGUGAAAUCUUAUAAUCCCGGGAGGACCACCAGUGGCGAAGGCUGCCGGCUGGAACGCGCCCGACGGUGAGGGAUGAAAGCUGGGGGAGCGAACCGGAUUAGAUACCCGGGUAGUCCCAGCUGUAAACGAUGCGGGCUAGGUGUUGGCACGGCUACAAGCCGUGUCAGUGCCGCAGGGAAGCCGUUAAGCCCGCCGCCUGGGGAGUACGGCCGCAAGGCUGAAACUUAAAGGAAUUGGCGGGGGAGCACCACAAGGGGUGAAGCUUGCGGUUUAAUUGGAGUCAACGCCGGA
rnacentral:rRNA from 1 species